AUCUAUGGCCAUGCCACCCUGAACAAGCCCGAUCCCGUCUGAUCUCGGAAGCUAAGCAGAAGCAGGGUCGGGCCUGGUUAGUACUUGGACCAGGUGCUAUAGGUG
rnacentral:rRNA from 1 species